CCAGUCCCCGUGACACCCUUGGGAUCCCCGUGACACCCUGGGGCUCCCCAUGGGCACCGUCCAGUCCCCGUGACACCCUUGGGAUCCCCGUGGGCACCAUCCGGUCCCCGUGACACCCUUGGGAUCCUCGUGGGCACCAUCCAGUCCCCGUGACACCCUCGAGAUCCCCGCGACGCCCCGGGGGCCCCCCGGGCGCCCCGCUGACGCCCGCCCGCCGGCGCCCCGCAGGCCCCACGUGGCGGGCGAGAAGGAGCGGGAGGAGGGGCGGGAGGCGAAGCCGCGCUCGCUGCGCUUCACGUGGAGCAUGAAGACGACGAGCGCCCUGGAGCCCAACGAGAUGAUGCGGGAGAUCCGCAAGGUGCUGGACGCCAACAGCUGCCAGUGCGAGCUGCAGGAGAAGUACGUGCUGCUGUGCGUGCACGGCGCGCCGGGCCACGACUCCUUCGUGCAGUGGGAGAUGGAGGUGUGCAAGCUGCCGCGCCUCUCGCUCAACGGCGUCCGCUUCAAGCGCAUCGCCGGCACCUCCAUGGCCUUCAAGAACAUUGCCUCCAAGGUGGCCAACGAGCUCAAGCUCUGAGCGCGGCCCUCUCUCCCCCCCGCCGCCGCCCGGGGACGCCGGGGACCUGCCGCGGGGACGAGGAGGAAGGGGGCGGCCACCCCCCGCCCCGGGGGGCGACGCCGGGACCUCGCUGCGACGGCGGCGGUUGGGGACGUGCCGGGACUGAAGAGGACGUGCCGGGGCCUCGCGGCGACGUGCGGACGUCCUGGAUGUGCCGGGGCCUUAUGGGGACAUGCCAGGGCCUCGUGGGGACACGGGGACAUCCUGGAUGUGCCAGGGCCUUGCAGGGACAUGGGGACAUCCUGGAUGUGCCAGGGCCUCAUGGGGACACGGGGACAUCCUGGAUGUGCCAGGGCCUCGCAGGGACACAGGGACAUCCUGGACGUGCCAGGGCCUCGUGGGGACAUGGGGACAUCCCGGACGUGCCUGGGCCUUGUGGGGAUGGAUCAGGGCUUUGCGGGGAUACGCCACGACCUUAUGGGGACACGGGGAUGUCCCCAGGCCCUCCGGGGACGUCCUGGAGCCUUACGGGGACGUGAGGACGUCCCUGGGCCCUCUGGGGACGUCCAGGAUGUCCCCGGGCCCUGUGGGGACUUCCCAGGGUCCUACAGGGACAUUAUGGGGAUGUGGGGAUGUCCUGGACAUCCUGGGGCCGUAUGGAGACAUCAUGGAGCCUUACGGGGACGAUGGGGACGUCGCAGGGACACGGGGACGUCCUGGUACCCUACACGGACUUUAUGGGGACAUGGGGACGUCCUGGAUGUCCCAGGGCCCUACGGGGACAUUACAGGGACAUGGGGAUGUCACGGAUGUCCCAGGAUCCCAUGGGGAUGUCCUGAGUGUCCCACGACCCCAUGGGGACAUCCCGGACAUCCUGGUGCCCCAUGGGGACGUCCCGGAUGUC
rnacentral:lncRNA from 1 species